rfam:Lachnoanaerobaculum sp. ICM7 ctg120007550922, whole genome shotgun sequence.
UGGAGAGUAACUCCAUGGCAGGGUAGCUAUGUCGGGACGGGAUAAACGCUGAAGGCAUCUAAGCGUGAAGCCCCCCUCAAGAUGGGAUAUCUCAUGUGAAAACAGUAAGACCCCUUGAAUACUACGAGGUAGAUAGGGCCAAGAUGUAAGUACAGUAAUGUAUUAAGUUGAUGGUUACUAAUAGGUCGAGGGUUUAACCAA